AUGACCUUCCAAGUUUUAUAAAGAAGACGAUGAUGCUAUUUGCGUUUAUUUCAGUCGAACAAUUCUACUUGGCCAGCGGUGUAAAAGCUGCCGAUCGAGGUUUUUAUGGAGAAAGUGGUUCCUGCGCAGCCUUUUAAUCUUGUUACAUUCUAAGAAUGACAAGGACACUUCUAAAACAUUCUGAUUCUU
rnacentral:snoRNA from 1 species